rnacentral:rRNA from 1 species
UACAGAGGGGGCAAGCGUUAUUCGGAAUUAUUGGGCGUAAAGGGCGCGUAGGCGGCUUGGCAAGUGGAUGGUGAAAUCCCUCGGCUUAACCGAGGAACUGCCGUCCAAACUGCUUCGCUUGAGACCGGGAGAGGUGAGUGGAAUUCCAGUGUAGCGGUGAAAUGCGUAGAUAUUGGGAGGAACACCAGUGGCGAAGGCGGCUCACUGGACCGGUACUGACGCUGAUGCGCGAAAGCGUGGGGAGCAAACGGG